UCAGCAAAAUACCACACAGGAAAGGCCCUGAAAUCCAAAACAUCACUGAGAAGAUAUUUCAGUUUGUGUGAAGGUCAACACCCAGGGGCUGAGAGGGCACCAAGAGGUGCAUCGUGACAAAGAGGCCUGGCCUCCCUGCAGAGCCAGGGCUUGGAUCUCAGAAGAUGCUGAUGAAGGCACUGUGCUUGUACCAUCAUCCAAACACUUACAGUAAGUAAGUAGUCAAGGCAAUAUCCACUUCUGAAGUAAGAAACGCCACAUUUUUAUUUGACUUUGCCAUGUGCAGAUUGCACAUUUGUUUCCGUAACCACAGACAGCUUUUGGAAGCAGAAUUAAGCAGCAAGCAAGCCCCGAAGGUCCAGGAGAGGAUACAACAGUGUCUCUUAAUGUUCCUGAUUCCCCAAAGGAAAACAGAGAAAUGAAAGCUGCAAGAUUUCUUUAACAUGUUAUAAUGGGGAGAAAAUGAGCAAAGUUAAACUCACAUCUUCAGAGCAAUGCUGACAGAUCAUUGAACACAUGCAGACAGGAGGGGUGCUUGGGUCACUUGGGCUAAUGGUGCUUUUUGUGGAGAUGUUUCAAAGUGCUCCAAGUCAAUAACCACCUAAUUGGCCUCGGUGGACUUCAGAUCUUGGCUUCCCGUGACAAAGGUAUGAACAAAGGUGAGGUGGUAUAUUGCUCCUCAGACAUGGCUGAGAUGCAUACUUCUAUUUGAGAAAUCAAAGUCAGAACAGAAUUAGGUGCUUGAAGUCUCCUGACAGGAAAAGACAAAAGAAGAUAAGAAACAUUGCACACAGCAGCAAAAACAGACCGUGAAUAUUGAAAGCAGAACCCUGGAUGAAUAUUUAAAAUACAAGCUCAAUUUUCAUGUUGGGAUUUAGCCUCUGCAUGUGAGCACAUCUGCUGGGUGAUCCACUGAUGCUACCUGCACUCCUAAGGGAA